AGUAAAGUCAGCUAAUGAAGCUCUCGGGCCCAUACCCCUAUCAUGUUGGUUAAAAUCCUUCCUUUACUA
rnacentral:tRNA from 1 species